UGGCUCAGAUUGAACGCUGGCGGCAUGCUUUACACAUGCAAGUCGAACGGCAGCACGGGCUUCGGCCUGGUGGCGAGUGGCGAACGGGUGAGUAAUAUAUCGGAACGUACCCAAGAGUGGGGGAUAACGUAGCGAAAGUUACGCUAAUACCGCAUACGAUCUAUGGAUGAAAGCAGGGGACCGCAAGGCCUUGUGCUCCUGGAGCGGCCGAUAUCUGAUUAGCUAGUUGGUGAGGUAAAGGCUCACCAAGGCGACGAUCAGUAGCUGGUCUGAGAGGACGACCAGCCACACUGGAACUGAGACACGGUCCAGACUCCUACGGGAGGCAGCAGUGGGGAAUUUUGGACAAUGGGCGCAAGCCUGAUCCAGCAAUGCCGCGUGAGUGAAGAAGGCCUUCGGGUUGUAAAGCUCUUUUGUCAGGGAAGAAACGGUAGGAGCUAAUAUCUCUUGCUAAUGAC
rnacentral:rRNA from 1 species